rnacentral:rRNA from 1 species
AUCGGCCACACUGGAACUGAGACACGGUCCAGACACCUACGGGUGGCAGCAGUAGGGAAUAUUGCGCAAUGGGCGAAAAGCCUGACGCAGCGAUGCCGCGUGAGUGACGAAGGUCUUAGGAUUGUAAAGCUCUUUUCUGAGGGAAGAAUAGGUCCGGGAGGAAAUGCCUGGAUUGUGACGGUACCUCAGGAAUAAGGAACGGCUAACUCCGUGCCAGCAGCCGCGGUAAUACGGAGGUUCCAAGCGUUGUUCGGAAUUACUGGGCGUAAAGGGAGCGCAGGCGGACAGGUCAGUUUAAAGUGGAAUCCCAGGGCUCAACCCUGGACGUGCUUUGGAUACUGCCUGUCUUGAGUUCGUGAGAGGAAAGUGGAAUUCAGGGUGUAGCGGUGAAAUGCUUAGAUAUCCUGAGGAACACCAGUGGCGAAAGCGACUUUCUGGCACGAAACUGACGCUGAGGCUCGAAAGCAUGGGUAGCGAACGGGAUUAGAUACCCCGGUAGUCCAUGCCGUAAACGUUGUAUACUAGGU